rnacentral:rRNA from 1 species
AUUGAACGCUGGCGGCAGGCCUAACACAUGCAAGUCGAGCGGAUGACGGGAGCUUGCUCCUGGAUUCAGCGGCGGACGGGUGAGUAAUGCCUAGGAAUCUGCCUGGUAGUGGGGGACAACGUUUCGAAAGGAACGCUAAUACCGCAUACGUCCUACGGGAGAAAGCAGGGGACCUUCGGGCCUUGCGCUAUCAGAUGAGCCUAGGUCGGACUAGCUUGUUGGUGAGGUAAUGGCUCACCAAGGCGACGAUCCGUAACUGGUCUGAGAGGAUGAUCAGCCACACUGGAACUGAGACACGGUCCGGACUCCUACGGGAGGCAGCAGUGGGGAAUAUUGGACAAUGGGCGAAAGCCUGAUCCAGCCAUGCCGCGUGUGUGAAGAAGGUCUUCGGAUUGUAAAGCACUUUAAGUUGGGAGGAAGGGUUGUAGAUUAAUACUCUGCAAUUUUGACGUUACCGACAGAAUAAGCACCGGCUAACUCUGUGCCAGCCGCCGCAGUAAAAC